CGUCCCACAAGCGUAAGAGCUGUUUUGUGAAAACCUUCUCAAUCAUGUAAUAAGUCAGUUAAUUACCUCGAACCUCGGCAUUUAUCCAUAUACAGCCCUCGGCGCUACGCGCCUCGGGCUGUAUAUGGCGAAAUGCCUCGCUUCUCGGUAAUUAACUCUUACUAAAUGAAUAAUUUAGACAUUGUCCUCACUCUGUUUACAACGCCAAAUCACAGAUUUUCACGUCUUGAUACAACGGCUGCAUUCCAAGCCACAACAAGUGCAACUUCAAACUGGGUUUACCAGAACUCUUCCCAACCAUAAAACCCAUGUCUUCAACUUCUAAGACUGUAUUAAAUUCAUACGAUUGAUAAUAUACGAC